rnacentral:rRNA from 1 species
UACGUAGGUGGCGAGCGUUGUCCGGAUUUACUGGGCGUAAAGGGCUCGUAGGCGGCCAACUAAGUCAUACGUGAAAUCCCUCAGCUUAACUGGGGAACUGCGUGUGAUACUGGAUGGCUUGGAUUUGGGAGAGGGAUGCGGAAUUCCAGGUGUAGCGGUGAAAUGCAUAGAUAUCUGGAGGAACACCGGUGGCGAAGGCGGCAUCCUGGACCAAUAUUGACGCUGAGGAGCGAAAGCCAGGGGAGCAAACGGG